rnacentral:rRNA from 1 species
UACGAAGGGGGCUAGCGUUGUUCGGAAUACUGGGCGUAAAGCGUGCGCAGGCGGCCAUCCAAGUCAGUGGUGAAAGCCCGGAGCUCAACUCCGGAAUUGCCAUUGAAACUGUUUGGCUCGAGUACGAGAGAGGUGGAGUGGAAAUUCCCAGUGUAGAGGUGAAAUUCGUAGAUAUUGGGAAGAACACCGGUGGCGAAGGCGGCUCACUGGCUCGUAACUGACGCUCAUGCACGACAGCGUGGGGAUCAAACAGG